rnacentral:tRNA from 1 species
GUUUUAGAAGCAAAUAAUGCGUCGAUCUUGUAAUUCGGAAUUUGGUAUAUUUAUACCCAAAACCA